rnacentral:misc_RNA from 1 species
AGCUAUCAUUUUCCAAAGACAUUCGGGGGUCAGCCAAAGCCGAUAUCCGGGGCGAAUUCGCUAGUUGCUUCGCUGCACGGCGGGUGAGCUUAUGUGAUCGGUAACCGGUAUCCUCCAGCUGAGAGGCGUAUGGUGCAGUGUAGGCCGGCGUUCCGCGUCGCGCAUCCCUACGUCUGCCCCGGAUCGCCUCUUGGGAAACCCAGUGGGGGCAAUUGGAUGGCCUGUGAAACCUCCCGGUGGCUUCGGCCUCGGAGGCUUUCCGGGCUGAGCGUCGAGCUACGGCUCGGCCUCCUACCUUGUAAAUAUCCUGAUCAUCCCUUCGGGGGUGGGGUGUGACUAGGCGUGAACGCCCCUCGCGGGUGUGCGACCGAACUCUUAAGAUAGU